ACGUAGGUGGCAAGCGUUGUCCGGAUUUAUUGGGCGUAAAGGGAACGCAGGCGGUCUUUUAAGUCUGAUGUGAAAGCCUUCGGCUUAACCGGAGUAGUGCAUUGGAAACUGGAAGACUUGAGCGCAGAAGAGGAGAGUGGAACUCCAUGUGUAGCGGUGAAAUGCGUAGAUAUAUGGAAGAACACCAGUGGCGAAAGCGGCUCUCUGGUCUGUAACUGACGCUGAGGUUCGAAAGCGUGGGUAGCAAACAG
rnacentral:rRNA from 1 species